rnacentral:rRNA from 1 species
UACGGAGGGUGCGAGCGUUGUCCGGAAUCACUGGGCGUAAAGGGCGCGUAGGUGGCCUCUUAAGUGUGUGGUGAAAGCCCGGGGCUCAACCCCGGGUCGGCCAUGCAAACUGGGGGGGCUUGAGCAUUGUAGAGGCAGGCGGAAUUCCGGGUGUAGCGGUGGAAUGCGUAGAGAUCCGGAAGAACACCGGUGGCGAAGGCGGCCUGCUGGGCAAUUGCUGACACUGAGGCGCGACAGCGUGGGGAGCAACAGG